UACGAAGGGGCUAGCGUUGUUCGGAAUUACUGGGCGUAAGCGCGCGUAGGCGGCUUUGUAAGUUAGAGGUGAAAGCCGGGCUCACCCGGAACUGCCUUUAAGACUGCAUCGCUUGAAUCCAGGAGAGGUGAGUGGAAUUCCGAGUGUAGAGGUGAAAUUCGUAGAUAUUCGGAAGAACACCAGUGGCGAAGGCGGCUCACUGGACUGG
rnacentral:rRNA from 1 species